rnacentral:rRNA from 1 species
UCAGCAGUCAAGAAUAUUAGUCAAUGCUCGAAAGAGUGAACUAGCUAACUGAAAUCAAUUAUAAUAAUUGAUAACAUAAGGGAAAAAGAAUGAUAUUACCUUAUUAUUAGUGUCGUCCAAAUCUGGUGCCAGAAGACUCGGUAAGGCCAGAGACACGAACGUUAAUCGUCUUAAUCAGGCGUAAAGGGUUUGUAGGCGGCUUUAAAAUUUAUUUAUAUUAAUAUUAUAAAAUAAAAAAUAAAAGCUAGAAUCAAAAAGAGGAUAUAUUAAAGAAUGCUUAGAGUAGGUCUGAUAUCCUUAGAUACUAAGUAGAAUAUUAAAGGCGAAAGCUUUUUUCCAUUAAUGAUUGACGCUCAGAAACGAAGGUGAGGAUAGGAAAUAGGAUUAGAUACCCAAAAUACCCCUCUCUGUCAACGAUGAAUGGUAAUUAUUAGUAAAAAUUUUAUUAAUGAUAAUGUUAACACGAUAACCAUUCCGCCUUGUGAGUACAACUGCAAAGUUGAAAACAAAAAAAUUAGUCGGUUUCGGAGCAAACGAAGUGAAGCAUGUUAUUUAAUUCAAUAAUCCGCAAA